UUGGUUAGAAUGGUCGGAUUGGUCAUUAUGCAAUCAACCAUGUGGUGGUAAUAGUGUAGUAUCUAGAUUCCGUAAUUGUUUUAAUCCAAAGAAGAGUGGUUUGGUGUUUUGCAAAGGAAUUAAUACAGAAACUAGAGCUUGUGUUUUCAAAAAAUGUGAAACAGUAGACCUUAAUUUGUUCGUAAAUUUAUCAGAUGUGGAAUACCUUGAUCAAUAUUCUAAUCUAACUAGCAAGCAAUCAUUAGAACUCAAAGAAACAAUAAAAAAUGCGAUAAGCAGGCUUUACAAAUAUUCAAAAAGAAGUGUUACUCUUAGUAUUGUAAUACAUUC
rnacentral:lncRNA from 1 species